UAUCUUCGGGGCGAGGUGUAAUUCCUCACCGGCGGUGAAAGUCCGCGAGGCGAAAAUAUUCGCUUGAUUCGGUGCAAUUCCGAAACCGACGGUAUAGUCCGGAUGAAAGAAGAUG
rnacentral:ncRNA from 1 species